GGCGGUUCUAGGGUGAUGCACCCUGGAAUCAGGCUCGCUCCUCUCUGGUUCUGUUUGUGUCACCAGAGAACCGCA
rfam:Myotis davidii contig85073, whole genome shotgun sequence.